rnacentral:rRNA from 1 species
GACGAACGCUGGCGGCGUGCCUAAUACAUGCAAGUAGGACGCAGUUGUGAACGGGUGAGUAACGCGUAGGUCACUGCCAAUUGGAGGGGGAUAAAUAUUGGAAACGAUAGCCAAUACCGCAUAUUAGUAGAUGGACCUGCGUUGUAUUAGCUUGGAGGUAGGGUAAGGGCCUACCUAGGCGACGAUACAUAGUCGACCGGAGAGGGUGAUCGGCCGAACUGGGACUGAGACACGGCCCAGACGCCUACGGGAGGCAGGAGUAGGGAAUCGUCGGCAAUGGGGGGAACCCUGACCGAGCAACGCCGCGGGAGUGAAGAAGGUUUUCGGAUCGUAAAGCUCUGUUGUUAAGGAAGCGGUACUUAACCAGAAAGGGACGGCUAACGACGUGCCAGCAGCCGCGGUAAUUC